AUUCCCCCAAAACAGGAAUUUUGACCUUGCUCUUGCCACCGCACCGCAUCGCCGUUAUUAUGUGAACCGACUUCAUGAUUCCCUCUCAUAAGGAGUUCAUGAUGAACCGACAAGAUAUGUGCUCACAUGGCUGGCUAGGUCAAGUGUAAUUCUUCUCACAAUUCCAUACGUCUUCUAUUUCCGUUAUUCAUUUUCAUUUUAUUUUCUAUAUGCUUAAGAGUUAGAUGUUCAGAUUAGGUAUUUUUAUUAUCAUAAUAAAUAUUUUAGGUGAAUUAGGCAAAUUUCAGAAUUUCAGGAUUUAUCUAUUCUUCAUGAUUAGUGUUUUUCUUUGACAAACAUUUCAGAAUUGCUUUUUGUUCUUCAUGUAUAUGCAAUGUGUAGUUUGCUCUUUCAUCCCAAAAUAGUGGUUCUCAAUGUGGUUCUCUGGUUUAAUUUUCUUCUACUGAUUUGCUUUAUCCUGGUUUAUUUCUAAUUUCUAAUACCAUUUUUGUCUAUGAUAUGUUCCUACAAGGCAGUAGCAGGGUGCUUCGGUGUGGUGUUUGAAUUUUGGUACAGUUGCUAUGCCCAUUACAAGUCAGCUUGUAUUGAGCUUCUGUUUGAUACAGUGGGGAGUUUGUGCCUACAUUUGUGUUGGUUAUCCCCUGCUCAUUGAUGCUCAUAAUGCUCUCCACAAGAAGGUAUGAAUUAUAUGGUAUAUGACAGUGACAGUGGCAUUCUUUGAUUUUAAAAUUUCGGUGAUGUAUUAUGGUUGAGAUUGAAUAUUAUUGUAUUUGGGUUUCCAAAUCUGAUGUUUCAUUUUUUCGUUUAUUAUGUUUGGUAUUAUCCCAAACCACUAGAAGUCAGAGCGAAUCAUUUGUGAUCUCUUUGAUAUAUACUAUUUGCUGCAUAGCUUACCA
rnacentral:lncRNA from 1 species